rnacentral:pre_miRNA from 1 species
AAGGCUUUCCCACACUCGUUACAGUGAUGUCUUUUGGAACGACCAUGGACUCUCUGAUGGUGGGUGAGGAGGAGGGCCCGA